CUUGUCUAGUUGUGUUUCUGUUCCUGUCCCAGUCACUGUAUUGGUUUCUGUCCCCAUCCGAGUUAUGGUCCCUGUUCCUUUAUCUAAUUUUGCCCCGUCAACUGCCCAGUCUUUUGCUCGGUCCCCUGUUCAGUCCCCAUAUGCAUCCCUGGUCCAGUCUGUUUCAACCCCUGGUUCUGUGUUCGGCCCUGUUCCACCUUUGUUUCAGCCUCCUGUCCAGUCUUCGUCUAUGUUAAGUGUCCAGCCCCUAGUUCAGUCUUUCGUCCAGUCUAAGUCCCCUGUCCUGUCUCAGCCCUCUGUCCAGUCUAAGUCCCCUGUCCUGUCUCAGCCCUCUGUCCAGUCUAAGUCCCCUGUCCUGUCUCAGCCCUCUGUCCAGUCUAAGUCCCCUGUCCUGUCUCAGCCCUCUGUCCAGUCUUUCGUCCAGUCUAAGUCCCUUGUCCAGUCUCUUUCUCCGUCCACUGUCCAGUCUCCCCUGAUGUCCAAUGUCUAGUCCUUAGUCCAGUCCCCUGUCUUGUCCUGUGUUCUUCCCCUGUUCUUGUCUAGACUUGUCUUUCGUUCUGUUCCCUCUCUCAUCUCGGCGCCUCUGGUAGUGGCGCCGUUGAGGGGGGGUAAUGUUACACCUUAGCCUGUGUCUGUCCAGUGUCUUUCCUUUUUUGGUUCCUUCCUGCUCCUGUCCUCUGUUCUCGUGUUUUGUUUACCUGUCAUGUUUCCCAGCCAUGUGCUACUGUGUUUUGGUCAUGUCUCCGCCUUAGCCCCGCCUUGUCAUCUGUAACCCCUCCUGUCUCCUUUGUAACCCCGCCCCCCUCAUUACCUCCACAGGUGUCCCUAGUGUGUGCCUGUGUAUAAAUACCCCAUGUGCUCCUUUGUAGUUUGUCGCAUCUUUUGUCUCAAUUUGUCAUGUUACUCUGUCCAGAUUGUGUUUAUCUGUUUUGUUUAGCCACAGACCUGCUGUGUUGUUUGUCCUCAGUGUCUCAGUGUUCUUUUCUUUGUUAGUUUAAAUAUGGAAAAUAAAAAAGACUUGCGUUUA